rnacentral:rRNA from 1 species
UACGAAGGGGGCUAGCGUUGCUCGGAAUUACUGGGCGUAAAGGGCGCGUAGGCGGCACUGUUAGUCAGGCGUGAAAGUCCUGGGCUCAACCUGGGAACUGCGCUUGAUACGGCAGAGCUAGAGGAUGGGAAGAGGCUCGCGGAAUUCCCAGUGUAGAGGUGAAAUUCGUAGAUAUUGGGAAGAACACCGGUGGCGAAGGCGGCGAGCUGGUCCAUUACUGACGCUGGGGUGCGAAAGCAUGGGGAGCGAACAGG